UACGUAGGGUGCAAGCGUUGUCCGGAAUUAUUGGGCGUAAAGAGCUCGUAGGCGGUCUGUCGCGUCGGCUGUGAAAACUCGGGGCUCAACCCCGAGCCUGCAGUCGAUACGGGCAGACUAGAGUGCUGUAGGGGAGACUGGAAUUCCUGGUGUAGCGGUGAAAUGCGCAGAUAUCAGGAGGAACACCGGUGGCGAAGGCGGUCUCUGGCAGUAACUGACGCUGAGGCGCGAAAGCGUGGGGAGCAAACAGG
rnacentral:rRNA from 1 species